rnacentral:rRNA from 1 species
GGAAUCUUAGACAAUGGGGGAAACCCUGAUCUAGCCAUGCCGCGUGAGCGAUGAAGGCCUUAGGGUUGUAAAGCUCUUUCGCUGGGGCAGAUAAUGACGGUACCCAGUAAAGAAGCCCCGGCUACCUCCGUGCCAGCAGCCGCGGUAAUACGUCGGGGGCUAGCGUUGUGCGGAAUUACUGGGCGUAAAGCGCGCGUAGGCGGAUUGGAAAUUUGGGGGUGAAAUCCCGGGGCUCAACCCCGGAACGGCCUCCAAAACUAUCAGUCUUGAGUUCGAGAGAGGUGAGUGGAAUUGCGAGUGUAGAGGUGAAAUUCGUAGAUAUUCGCAGGAACACCAGUGGCGAAGGCGGCUCACUGGCUCGAUACUGACGCUGAGGUGCGAAAGUGUGGGGAGCA